rnacentral:rRNA from 1 species
UACGUAGGGGGCAAGCGUUGUCCGGAAUCAUUGGGCGUAAAGAGCGCGUAGGCGGCCCAGUAAGUCCGCUCUGAAAGUCAGGGGCUCAACCCCUGGAUGCGGGUGGAUACUGCUGGGCUAGAGUCCGGAAGAGGCGAGUGGAAUUCCUGGUGUAGCGGUGAAAUGCGCAGAUAUCAGGAGGAACACCAAUGGCGAAGGCAGCUCGCUGGGCAUUAACUGACGCUGAGGAGCGAAAGCAUGGGGAGCGAACAGG